UCCCCACCCUUCUACCCUCCUUUUUCUCCCCUUCCCUUGGCAGCAGUGCCAAAGUGGGCAGGCAGACCGAGGCAAACACAGCACAGGGCAGAGCAGAGGGCGAUCCAAAGGCUGGCGAAUUGAUUAUGUGGCUGUGUGAGAGCAGACGUCCCUCUGUCACCCUGUGUGCGGACAGACGCACUCACGCCAGUAGGAGGGGAUUGUGGGAAGGGGGUGUAGCUCUCAGAGGGUGUGCUCUACUCCUCUCUUUUCCCUUCUUCCCGCCAUCACGGCCCUCUUCUCCUCCAGUCCUCUGGCCCAGCCCGCCGCUCACGUACAGGCUCCAGGUAUUUUUCUUUUUUAUCCUGCGACACCGCUUCCCAUCUUUUCCACAGCCCUAUAAUCUUUCUCCUUCGGUUCCUCUCACCCUCAUCUCUGUCCUUCAUCGUGGUCUUCCUCCUGUAAAUGUGUCUAUCGUCGUCAGUUGCCACGCUGCAAUCAGCUCGCCGCCAUUUUGGCUCCAUGGAUAUAGCAGGAGAAACUUUUCUGGAGCUCAGGGGGACUCCUCGGCUCCCUGCUGACCAUCUUCUUUCUCCUGCUUCCAUUAUCUCUUUUUUUCUCUCUGUCCCUGUCCUCUUCCUCUCCCCUCUCUGCUCUCUGCUCUAGGACAGCAGGCUCUGACAGGGUGGCAAACAGUCUUUCUGUGGCUUUUCGUACCAAACAGGUGUCUCUUUGUAGACUGGCAGGAGGAAGGACAGGCCUCCGCGGGUUACUUUCUGACCUCAAAGGGUCGAUCGAGCCACAGAGCUGUUGUUGUGUUCAGGUCAGUGCAAGUUGAGCUGCACCCACAGGACAAGAGAGACACUUGGCAGGUCUCUUAUCACCCAGAGCAGUUAUGAUAGCUAGUGUAAGGGCAAUAUUGACACGGUUUGCCUCCACAUGCAUGUUUGCACUUUCUGCCACCGUUAGAACUCAGAUAUGCGGUCGUUGAUUCACAGGAACAUGCCCGUUUAUGCGCAAGGUUUAUCUUUCUGCGAUCUAGAGGUGCGACAGUUUGUUCAAAGGUGGCAACUGUAACGUUUGCCUUGACACCCUGCGUCAUCGGCUACUGUUUAUGAUACUUUGCACUUCAGAGGAACCUGAGGCAGAAAUGAAACCGAGUUAGGUCAAACAAACAGACGACGCUGUAGAGAAAUGUUGGUGUUCGUCAGUAGUUCUUCCUCAUUGUAUCAGUAAAGCUGUUGAUCUAUUUUCACCAGCGUCACCUGCCUGUUGAAAAAGAACAAAAAGAGAACAGCAGCAUUUGUCCGAUUGAUGUUUAUCCUCAUAUUGCAUAUUUUGAUUACAGGGGCCAGAAUGCCAUUAAACAAAAGCAUAUAUUAUUGUUGCAUUCGCCGAAGUAGAUAAAACAGGGUGUGUGAAUUCAUCGACGACCGAUUUGAUCUUUCAACCGACUUUCAGACGGGAAAUUUAAUACAGAUUGAACGAUCUCAUAUACCUGCAUAUUGCAUGUACUAUCAGGACUCUUAACUUGACUGCUUAUUGUUAGUGCUGUAUCUUGAUCUAAAUAAGGGUUGGUGUUAAGAUGGCGCCUUCGUGCCACGUGUUUGUGAAACAGUGAAUAUGGGUAGACCCUUUCAACAUACCCCUCACCGUCAUCACAUCUCGUGGGUACAUUACUCCUAAUUCCCCUGCAUCACCCUCUGUCAUUUAAAAUCAAUCAGCGUUGGCAUUAAGCAGCAAAUGAGUUUACCAAAAAAGAACCUCCAAAAGAACCUCUCCUCAUGAACAUCGACAUGUGACUGGGACAAAAGGAAAAUGUUAAUAAGAAAGAAGAAGCUGUAGAAAAAGAGAGAGAACAAGGGCGACAGAGACAGAAAGAGAGGUAGGAGUAGGAGAGCUCUUUCCCCGCCCCUCUCGUAUCCUCAGAUGAACUUAUCGUGUUGCCUCAUAAAGUUUCUGAGUUUUUUCUCCUAGAGGCAGUCAGGGUAACUUCCUGCAUUCAGCCUAAACAUAGCUGAUUGGUUGAUAUCUUGGCUGACCAGCCGCAGUUUGCAGCGAGGCAACAGGAAGUUUCUCUUCUCAUGCAGGAAGCAGCAGCUGUUUCAUCCUGACCUACACCACUUUGCACUCUUGCACGCAUAGUCUUUGUAUACAUGCGUACAAAUAUGCACGCACACCCUGUGUAUGUGUAUGUGCGCGAGUGUCGAUGGCCUGCUCUGUGUUGCAUUAGCGAAUGCUAUAACAUGUAGGCGUGUAGCACCAUGGUAACCGCAUAUCUUAUCAGAACAUUAGCAAAAGCAUAGACAAGUG